GAUGAACGCUGGCGGCGUGCCUAAUACAUGCAAGUCGAGCGAAUGGAUUAAGAGCUUGCUCUUAUGAAGUUAGCGGCGGACGGGUGAGUAACACGUGGGUAACCUGCCCAUAAGACUGGGAUAACUCCGGGAAACCGGGGCUAAUACCGGAUAACAUUUUGAACCGCAUGGUUCGAAAUUGAAAGGCGGCUUCGGCUGUCACUUAUGGAUGGACCCGCGUCGCAUUAGCUAGUUGGUGAGGUAACGGCUCACCAAGGCAACGAUGCGUAGCCGAGCUGGGAGGGUGAUCGGACACACUGGGACUGAGACACGGCCCAGACUCCUACUGGAGGCAGCAGUAGGGAAUCUUCCGCAAUGGACGAAAGUCUGACGGAGCAACGCCGCGUGAGUGAUGAAGGCUUUCGGGUCGUAAAACUCUGUUGUUAGGGAAGAACAAGUGCUAGUUGAAUAAGCUGGCACCUUGACGGUACCUAACCAGAAAGCCACGGCUAACUACGUGCCAGCCGCCGCCGUAA
rnacentral:rRNA from 1 species